GAGGGUGUAGCUCAGUUGCAGAGCACAUGUUUAGCAUGCGUGAGGUCCUGGGUUCAGUCCCCAGCCCCUCCA
rnacentral:tRNA from 1 species